GAGAGAGAGAGAGAGAGAGAGAGAGAGAGAGAGAGAGAGAGACCCACACACGACCCAAAGACUGCCUCAUCACCUGACACACCACCACGACCACCCAGCCACCUAAUCUUCUUCCCUCCCUGCACCUCCCCCAGUGUGCAAGCCCUGCCAGACAGUGCACGUGUGAUUACCAGCUGUGGAAGGGGUAGGUUUGCUUCUCUCACCCCCUCACCGUGUCUGCAGUUCGUGGAAGACUUGGGCCAGUUUCGCAGUGUCCUAUUUGUUCGUGAGCUUACUAACAUGAGAAACAUUUGGGUUGGAUAGCUGACAAAAGAACUGAAAUUGGCUCUAUUGCCUUAAUAGUUCUUGUUUUUUUGUACGCUCCCAAACGAAAUGCAACGGCCAGAGUUGAUUGUGGGAUCUGAUCACGACUGAGGUACUUUUGCAGUUUAUCUUACAAACGAAAACGGUUGACUGUCGACCUGGCCCCAAACUCCCCUGUCAGCUGUGAGGUGAGGUUCACUGAGUCGGAGGAAAUUGCAGCAUGACCUCUACUUCUUCCUCCCUGCCAGGUGAGUGUGUGGGUUUAAGUUUGAAUUCAAAUAUAAGUUCAUGCAUUCAUUACCGUCAAGAGAGAACAGAUAACAAAAGAUUAAUUGUUUGCAGGAUGUUCUCGGCUCUCCUGCCCUCAAGUAACCUUCCCUUCUCUCUGCCAAAUUUAUAACCAGUGUGAAGCCGUAAGGGGCACCAUCUUUCUCUACCAGACACAAGAGGAGGAGGAAGAGUGACCGCCAUGUUUAUACGAGGUAAACAAGGAGCUCAGAAAGUUUCCCUCUAUUGUGACUUUACCUGACCUACCAUGCCGUGACCUUGAGGAUGACCUUGACCUGGGACGCACUGUGGGAGGAGGAAGGAGGUAGAGGAGGCGAAAAUAUAUGCAGCCUUGUUUGGUGCAUACAAGCCAAAGUAGUGGUACAUAAGAGCCAGUACAUAGCAGCCCAACAAUGCUACAUAUAAGCCAAACAAGUGGUACGUAGGACCCGGUACAUAGCAGCCGACGGGGAGAGGUGUGAGAGUGACCAGGUGUGUGUUCAGGUGUGCCAGCCUUGUCUUGUCCCCAUCAGGUAUGCAGUACACAGGUAUGCAGUACACACAGAUGAGUCAUGCGCUGCACAGGUGAGGGCCAGGGAGCUGCAGGUGUGGCAGUGAAUGUUUUAGCAUGUCAUGUGUAUUUUCUGCUUGUCUGGUCUGUUUGCCUUGUGUUGAUUUCUUUUGAGUGAAUAAAUCAAACUGCAUUCAUAUCCAUUUUUAAUAUACACAGGGAAAGAACACUGUUCACUUCUUUUACAGGGGAGGAGCUGAGAACAAAAACAAAUUCAAGAAAAUAAAAUUAUAUUCUCAUCACAUUAGACAAGACUCCACUUGGGCAGCUUCAAACUUGGAUUCUUUGUCCCUGACUCUUUGAAGAGGUCAGAGUCCGAGAGUCCAUGAAGAGAGAUCCAUCCCUUUUGUACCUGACUCUUUGAAGAGGUCAGUCAGAGUUUGUCCCUGACUUAUUGAAGAGAGAGCCCAAGAGUCAGGGAGGAGGGAGAGGACACACCAGUCAAUGGGUUGCAACAAGAAAGAACACACCUGAAAUAUGACUGGGUUGCAACAAGAACACACCUGAAGUAGAGUCCUUCACGUCCACAGCAGCAGCAGCAGCAGGGCAGGUGUGUUGCUUAGACUACAAGUGAGGGGGGCGGCAGCAGCAGCACCCACCACCACCACACCUGCAAGAUAUCCAAGCCAGCACAGCCCCAACACACCUGUACAAACUUGAAUAUAGAUAAAUUUAAACUUUUCUUCUAAACUUGAACAAACUGUCAAAUAAAUCAUAUCUGUGUUUACCUUCCAUGCUUGGUCUCAUUCUCUGCCUUUCAGUCACAAGUUAUUGACAAGGUGUACGGUGGUUUUCUUAAUGCAUUUCUCUUGACUGUCUAUAUAUCUUUAGUGAAUAUGCCGACCUGUGUAGGCUUCAGAUAGCUUCAUUAAUAGCUUCCUCAUUUCUUUAAAUCAAUCUCUUUCUUAUCCUCUAAUAAUUCAUCUCAAAGAUCUUUAUUUCCCAAUCCAUUAAAUAUUUCAAUUUCAUCAAAGUCUACUUCCCUAUAUCAUCUUUCAGUUGGUAGACUAAGAAAUUAAAUUAUCUUUUAUAUCUUGCCUAUCUCUCAUUGUUUCUACUCUCAUUGUUUCUAUUUUUUUCUAUCUUAUUUUGUUACCUUUAUUUUUUAUCUUCAAUCAUUACCUUCCAUUUUUUUCAUCACCUUCCAUCAUUUCUCUUUCAUCACCUUCCAUCAUUUUCCUCUUUCAUUACUGUACAUAAUUUUCCUCUUUCAUCACCUUCCAUCAUAUUUCUCUUCCAUCAGUCCUGCAUUCCCUCUGCUAACUGACUGCUCUUCACACAGGCAGCACCAAACACCAAGAACUGCACCCUGGAGUCAAGAAACCUUCAUUACUUCCCAGCUCAGAUGCAAACCCUGAACACAACACUGCCACACCCAGCCACUGCCCUCCAGCUCUGCCUCACUGUGUCAUACCGUCCCCCCCAAAUAUUUUUAUCAAUGUGCUUAUAAUUUUUACAGGAGUUCGGUGGCCAUGCUUGUAAUGUUUCUCAAUUUUUGUUAAGUUUGAUUUAAGUUGGAUUUAUUCUGGUCAAAAUUUUCAGAUUUAAGAAAUACGAAUAAGAUU